GAUGAACGCUAGCGGCAGGCUUAACACAUGCAAGUCGAGGGACGGUAGCAAUACUGGACCGGCAAACGGGUGCGGAACACGUACGCAACAUACCCUGAACUGGGGCAUAGCCUUCUGAAAAGGAGAUUAAUACCCCAUAAGAUAACUAGAGUGGCAUCACUUAGUUAUUAAAGAUUUAUUGGUUCAGGAUUGGCGUGCGUCCUAUUAGCUAGUUGGUAAGGGUAACGGCCUACCAAGGCGACGAUAGGUAGCUGGUGUGAGAGCACGACCAGCCACACGGGCGACUGAGACACGGGCCCGACUCCUACGGGAGGCAGCAGGUGAGGAAUAUUGGUCAAUGGAGGCAACUCUGAACCAG
rnacentral:rRNA from 1 species